rnacentral:rRNA from 1 species
UCGAGAAUCUUUCGCAAUGCCCGAAAGGGUGACGAAGCGACGCCGCGUGCGGGAAGAAGGCCUUCGGGUUGUAAACCGCUGUCGGGAGUUAGGAAAUGCAAGGAUGUUAAUAGCAUUCUUGCUUGACUAAGGCUCCGGAGGAAGCCACGGCUAACUCUGUGCCAGCAGCCGCGGUAAUACAGAGGCGGCAAGCGUUGUUCGGAAUUAUUGGGCGUAAAGAGCACGUAGGCGGCUGUGUAAGUCGGUUGUGAAAGCCUUCCGCUUAACGGAAGAACGGCAUCCGAUACUGCAUAGCUUGAGUGCGGGAGGGGAGAGUGGAACUUCUGGUGGAGCGGUGAAAUGCGUAGAUAUCAGAAGGAACACCGGCGGCGAAGGCGACUCUCUGGUCCGUAACUGACGCUGAGUGUGCGAAAGCUAGGGGAGCAAACGGGAUUAGAUACCCACGUAGUCCCUGAGCGGGCUGGCAAGGCGCAU